CACUGAAAGUUAUGAAAAAUAAAUAUAAGAGGAGUGUAAACCAUACAAAGAGCGUUAUGGUAAAUUACAGAGCCACGUUGAUGCAAACAUAAGAAAUAGAAGAGAAAUCAAACCAGCACUUUGUAACAUCCACUCCCUCCCUAUCCUCUCUCUCUCCUUCACAUUUUCUCUCAUCCAUUUCAAUGGCUUCUGCUUCCAUUUCUGAUGCUUCUCUCUCCACCAAGAAGAAAAGGGUAACCUGGUUUGAAUUUGUAUUGGCACAGUUGCGGGUUCAGAUUCACAUAGAAGGCAUUGGUCAUCAGGUGAGUGGUUUUCUUUUCAAUCCAUUUUUUCUUUCAUCGUUGUUGUUCCCGAAGGCUUCAGAAUUCAACUUCAAUUUUCAGUUUUAGUUCCAACUUUGUCCUUUGAGUAAUUGAAGCCUUACACACAGAUGCAGGUGCACCAUCUAUUUUUCAUAGUCCUAAUGCAGAUUAACUAAAUCCUACUUUUGCAUCAUUUUCCACCAUGACUAAUUUACAAUGAUUCAUCUCAUGUACCCAAUGGUAAUGCCUUCUAAUUUUCUAUUCUUUAUUUUUGAAAGAUAGAAAGAGUAAUGCCUUCUAAUUUAUUCACCUUAAAUUUUGAUGUACUUGCUUUAAUUUACAUACCCUUCUUUUUUCUUUUCAUCUUCUUUUCUAACUUUUGUAUUACUCUCCCAUUUUUUUUUCUCUCAUCCCUCUCCAACUCAGUUCCCCCUUUUGUGCUUGCUUUUCUUUUUUCUAUCUCAUUUUUGUUUUUUUUUUUCUUUCUAGAAUUUGUGAAAGCUUUCAGCAUUUUUUGUUUUACUUUUUUCUAACGUUUUAGAGUUUGUUAAAUUUCCUGAUAUGCACAUUCUCUUUUUUAAAGAAGGAUUUUUUUAGAAAUAUCUUAAAUUUGGUGAAUUAAGUUAAUUGAGGGAAACUUUGUGUAUUGUAUGAAAUGUGGGAUUGAUUUUCGGUCUAAAUUUUAAGUUUGGAUGAAGUUGGAAAAGCAACUAAUAACAAGGUCAACACCUAGCAACAAAGGAGCGACAACAAUGAGAAGAUCACAAUCUAUCAUUACUACUUAAAAGAAAGAAAGAAAUGCACCUUGGGUGGCAGGCCAGAUAAUGUUUUGAAGAGUUCUACACCGGAGACAAACAAUAUGCAUCUCGGUCGAUUAAAGAAGAUGAAAGUUGGAAUGAUUCAUAUUUCAAUGUAUUCUUUUGUUAUUAGUUUUUGGUUUUUAAUUUUACAUUUUUUUUAUGGGAAAUUAAAUCAGAAUGGAUGUUGUAUACAGAAUUAGGCACCUAUAUGUAGUGUCAUAAACCUAUUAAUUACUCCAUCUCAUCUCAUCAUCUUUCACUUACAUAUUAUUUGUAUUCUCAUUCAAUUUAUUAUUUAUAUUUUUCUUUAA